AAAUCUGGCCGGUAUUAACCACAAUAACGUUGAUUAAAUGGGCAAGCCCUGAUGUCUGUGUGCCUGAUUGAAUUUCAGCCUGGCCUGGCCUGCUUGGGAAACCCAGGUCUGGGCCAACGCCAGAGGAGGGCCUGCCAACCAGAGGAUGCUGUGCACUUGUGUGAGGAAUUUCUCACCAGAGAGGCUCCUGAGGCCAAAGGUUGACGCUCCUCCCUGCAGCCACUGUGCAAGAUGUGCUGGUCACUGCAGACAACUCUGAAGCCAGGAUGUCCAUGUGAAAUUCCACGCUCACCUGUCACUGAGCUCGCUCUCCCAGCUCCCCAGGGCAGCGCAGCCCCACCGCGACCCUCCCUCGGCACAGUUUGGCCCUUUGCGGGGUUGGAAUUGGCCGGACUUGGCUGUAGCCAGCAGCAGUCUGGGGGUGCCGGCGCCCUGCUGGCCCCUUCCUUCGGAACAGCCGGCCAGCCCAGAAGCAAGACCGCCUUCCCUCUCCCUCUGGACACACAGCCUUUGCAGAGUCAAGCUCCACUUGAAGCUCACUCAAUUUUGACACGUGGGACUCUUGUUGUAUUUACUGGUAAGAGUGUUUCCUUCUCUGGGAUCCUGCAUCUCUCGAUCUCUACACCCUCAGAACCUGAAGAUGCAAGUUUCACAAAUCCUCAAGCAACCGCUAGGAGUGAUGGGUACCUAUUAGAGAAAUUCUUCCAGGAUAUAUGGAUUCUACAGGUGUGAAGCAUUCAAAGAUAUAACCCUAACAGUCAGGAGGAGGAAUCAUGACUCCUGCCUGGGAAAGACAGUGACAUAAAGAAAUCAAAGCAGUGAAAGAGCUUCCUAGGGAAGUUGUCUGUGCGCCUUUGAAUGAAAACCAGAUGGAAGAAGCAGUGCUCUCAGUUCCCUGAAAGCCCAAGGAGUGGAAUGUUUCACCUGCCUCCAGUUCAAUAUGUACUGCAGUUGCCUAUUCAGCAUCAGAACAUUGAGGGCUGCUAGUUUGUCCCUAGCUGAGAGAGUGCCAGAGAGGCUUUGCUCACCUAAGGACUAAGUGUGAGUACAUCCUCAGCAAUCCACUGAUUGCUAUUUCUGUGGUGCAAGAUGCAAAGGUGGCUAAAAGGCUAGGUAACUGUGCUUCCUAAGAAGCUGUGGUGGACAUUGGCCUCAUCU